CAGAGCAUCAAUGACUAUAAUUCUCUUCGGCAGAGAAUCGUCUGGUAAAGCUAUUGCAUUCGUAUGGGAAUCGUUUAUUUUAUCUGCCGAAGAGAAUUCUAGUCACUGAUGCUCUG